rfam:Danio rerio chromosome 4, GRCz11 reference primary assembly.
CCUUCGAUAGCUCAGUUGGUAGAGCGGAGGACUGUAGUUGGGAUGUUGGCAAUCCUUAGGUCGCUGGUUCGACUCUGGCUCGAAGGA